rnacentral:lncRNA from 1 species
UUUCACCCCAAAAUGUAAUCCCCAAAAUUAAUUAAUUUUGCACCCCCAUUCCUGAGAGCCAUUACCCCAUUUUCUCCCUUUUUCAUCCCAAAAGACAAUCCCAAAAAUUAAUUAAUUUUGCACCCUUACACCUGAGAGCAAUUGGCCCAAUUUCCUCCUUUUUCACCCCAAAAUGUAACCCCACAAAUUAGUUAAUUUUGUACACCUUUACCUGAGAGCGAUUGUCCCAUUUUCCCACUUUUUCACCCCAAAAUGUAAUCCCCAAAAUUAAUUAAUUUUGCACCCCUAUUCCUGAGAGCCAUCACCCCAUUUUCACCCUUUUUUACCCCAAAAGACAAUUUCCAAAAUUAAUUAAUUUUGUACCUCUACACCUGAGAGCAAUUGGCCCAAAUUCUUCCUUUUUCAACCCCAAAAUUCACCCCUCCCUCCGCUUAACACCCCAGGCCGCUCCCCGCCAGCGAUUGACCCGUUUUUGCCCUUUUUCACCCCAAAACCAACGGGGAUGGACCCACGAGAGCCCCAGCAGCUCCCUGGCACCCGCAGGCCCCAAUCCGGGCGUUUUUUCACC